rnacentral:rRNA from 1 species
GUCUACGGCCAUGCCACCCUGAACAAGCCCGAUGUCUGAUCUCGGAAGCUAAGCAGGAUCAGGCCUAGUUAGUGCUUGGAUGGGAGACCACCUAAGAAGGCCAGGUGCUGUAGGCA